rnacentral:rRNA from 1 species
AAACCGGGGCUAAUACCGGAUGCUUGAUUGAACCGCAUGGUUCAAUCAUAAAAGGGGGUUUUUACCUACCUUUUACAAAUGGACCCCCGGCCCAUUAUCUAGUUGGGGAGGUAACGGCUCACCAAGGCCAAAAUGCGUACCCAACCUGAAAGGGUGAUCGGCCACCCUGGGACUGAAACACGGCACAAACUCCUACGGGAGGCAGCAGUAGGGAAUCUUCCCCAAUGGACAAAAUUCUGACGGAACAACCCCCCGUGAGUGAUGAAGGUUUUCGGAUCGUAAAACUCUGUUGUUAGGGAAAAACAAGUACCGUUCGAAUAGGGCGGCACCUUGACGGUACCUAACCAAAAAGCCACGGCUAACUACGUGCCAACAGCCGCGGUAAUACGUAUGUGGCAAGCGUUGUCCGGAAUUAUUGGGCGUAAAGCGCGCGCAGGCGGUUUCUUAAGUCUGAUGUGAAAGCCCCCGGCUCAACCGGGGAGGGUCAUUGGAAACUGGGGAACUUGAGUGCAAAAGAAGAGAGUGGAAUUCCACGUGUAGCGGUGAAAUGCGUAGAGAUGUGGAAGAACACCAGUGGCGAAGGCGACUCUCUGGUCUGUAACUGACGCUGAAGCGCGAAAGCGUGGGGAGCGAACAGGAUUAGAUACCCUGGUAGUCCACGCCGUAAACGAUGAGUGCUAAGUGUUAGAGGGUUUCCGCCCUUUAGUGCUGCAGCAAACGCAUUAAGCACUCCGCCUGGGGAGUACGGUCGC